rnacentral:lncRNA from 1 species
CCUUUGGACUUGUACGUAACAUAUAGACAACAAGACAGUAAAUUUGUUCUAAUAUUUGAUCUAAGAGCAGAAACAUCAGCAUUUUUACAGUUAAACAAUAUUUGAAACUCAUCCCCUAUUCCUUCAUAACAUAAUGUACAUAUUCUAUUUUCCCUCGCGAUCCCCGCCCAUCUACCCGUCUCAAUAGGUAACUUCAAAUUCGAGCAUCGAAGUUUAGAUAUCUACAUGUAAUAUCUGUCCUUAGGCAAUAAUCGCAAUACAUACGGUUCCAAACCAAACUCGAGUUUGAAUAAAGAAUAUAACAAGUAAACUGCGAGCUACUGCUCACUGAUGAUACCCCCGCCGCAAGUGGAUAAUAUUAAUAAUGUAAAAAUAUGCAAGUGUCUAGCUGACUUAGAUAAACCCUGAAACCAAAUUUCAGAAAUCCUUGUAUUAUAGUUCCUGAGAAAAAUGUGAUGAAAAUUUUCAACAUGGCUAUCAUGUGUAAAAUCGUACAAGUGUUCGGUAAACAGGAAGUUGUCAAGUGAUCAAUCUGAAAACGCAUCACACGGUAUAGCUGACUUAGAUAAACCCUGAAACCAAAUUUCAGAAAUCCUUGUAUUGUAGUUCCUGAGAAAAAUGUGACGAAAAUUUUCAACUUGGCUAUCAUGUGUAAAAUCAUACAAGUGUUCGGUAAACAGGAAGUUGCCAAGUGAUCAAUCUGAAAACGCAUCACACGGUAUAGCUGACUUAGAUAAACCCUGAAACCAAAUUUCAGAAAUCCUUGUAUUGUAGUUCCUGAGAAAAAUGUGACGAAAAUUUUCAACUUGGCUAUCAUGUGUAAAAUAGUACAAGUGUUCGGUAAACAGGAAGUUGUCAAG